rnacentral:rRNA from 1 species
AGUGAACGCUGGCGGUAGGCCUAACACAUGCAAGUCGAACGGCAGCACAGUAAGAGCUUGCUCUUACGGGUGGCGAGUGGCGGACGGGUGAGGAAUACAUCGGAAUCUACUUUUUCGUGGGGGAUAACGUAGGGAAACUUCCGCUAAUACCGCAUACGACCUACGGGUGAAAGCAGGGGAUCUUCGGACCUUGCGCGAUUGAAUGAGCCGAUGUCGGAUUAGCUAGUUGGCGGGGUAAAGGCCCACCAAGGCGACGAUCCGUAGCUGGUCUGAGAGGAUGAUCAGCUACACUGGAACUGAGACACGGUCCAGACUCCUACGGGAGGCAGCAGUGGGGAAUAUUGGACAAUGGGCGCAAGCCUGAUCCAGCCAUACCGCGUGGGUGAAGAAGGCCUUCGGGUUGUAAAGCCCUUUUGUUGGGAAAGAAAAGCAGCAGGUUAAUACCCCGCUGUUCUGACGGUACCCAAAGAAUAAGCACCGGCUAACUUCGUG